UACAGAGGGUGCGAGCGUUAAUCGGAAUUACUGGGCGUAAAGCGUGCGUAGACGGUAGCGUAAGUCAGAUGUGAAAGCCCCGGGCUCAACCUGGGAACUGCAUUUGAGACUGCUCUGCUCGGGUGCGGAAGAGGGAAGCGGAAUUUCCGGUGUAGCGGUGAAAUGCGUAGAUAUCGGAAGGAACACCAGUGGCGAAGGCGGCUCUCUGGACCUCUGCUGACGCUGAGGCGCGAAAGCGUGGGGAGCGAUCCGG
rnacentral:rRNA from 1 species